rnacentral:lncRNA from 1 species
UUUUGUUUUGUACUGCUAGCCCUAUCAAGCAUCGGUGUUUUACGUGGUUUUUCUGCUCCCAUCUUGCACAUAUCACAUUUUUUUCUUCGAGCUACAUGGGUGAUACACAGAGUACACGCAGCAAAACAGAAGUUUUUUUUUAAUUAAGGAUAACUUGAUCCGGCCUCGACCAUUAGUGAAUGUCUAUAGCCAAAGGAUACAAAGAUGCAGCACUUAGACUGCCAGCAAACAGCCACAACACCACAGUUCAAACUAAAGACAAAACCAAAGAAACAGAACCCCUCAGUAGCUCAGUGGUAGAGCGGAGCGGUGGGCUGUUAACUGAGUGGUUAUAGGUUCGAAUCCACAAGGGUUGAAGACCAUUAGGCUUCAAUACUGUUCCUAAAUCUCCAUCC